rnacentral:misc_RNA from 1 species
GCUGGAGGAUGAGAGACUCCAUUGAUGACAUCUUUGGAGGUAGAGAGAGUGGAGAAGUGAGGGAAGUGAAAGUGGGAGUUUCAGUAGCACAAAUUAAUAGUAAAAAGAAUGUUGAAGGUAACGUCUAAUAAAUUUAGGGUCAGUUUUAUUAUUAGGUAAUUUACGACUAAGUCCUUAAAAAUAUAACAAUAUCAAAUUUCUAAAGCAGAAGAAUCCAUGGCGGAUGGUUCACAAUAGGAGUACUUCUGUUUUGUGGCUACCCACAGUAGUAGUGCUGUAGUGAUGGUUGCUACUAGUGGAAGACACAGACCAAAAGUGAGAACAACUCCACCAUCUCCACCUUUCAGCAGAAAAAGAUUGAUUCUAAUGUAAAGAGAACUCUGAACUGUAUGGUUGGGAAAGCUGGUGGCCAGUGGGAAUUCUUUUACACUUGAUAUGGUUGGGAAAAGCAAGCAAGGAUUAUCAUUUACAGAGUACACAAAUAACAACUUCAAGAAUUUCCUGACAAAUCUACAAUCUACAGUAUAGAAAUUUCUCUUUUUUGAAAUGCAAACGGGGAACGUGCAUUACAAGGCCCUUUGGGCUAUAGAAAAUUCUCUUUGGCACAAUAGAAUCUGCUAAAAGAAAUUGAACAACAUCAAAUAACCAACAUCCUUAAAACUGUUACUCAAGUUUAUGACUGUAACUUUCUAUUUAAUUGGGAGAAUUUAGACUUGAG